ACCGCUGGUGUAGUGGUAGCACGCGUCUUUUUUGAGAUUGAAAUGUGGGUUCAACUCCUACCUGCGGUU